UAGGGAAUCUUCGGCAAUGGACGAAAGUCUGACCGAGCAACGCCGCGUGAGUGAAGAAGGUUUUCGGAUCGUAAAACUCCGUUGGUAGAGAAGAACGUUGGCGAGAGUGGAAAGCUCAUCAAGUGACGGUAACUACCCAGAAAGGGACGGCUAACUACGUGCCAA
rnacentral:rRNA from 1 species